rnacentral:rRNA from 1 species
CUACGGGCUGCUGCAGUGGGGAAUAUUGCACAAUGGAGGAAACUCUGAUGCAGCAACGCCGCGUGGAGGAUGACACUUUUCGGAGUGUAAACUCCUUUUAUAUAGGAAGAUAAUGACGGUACUAUAUGAAUAAGCACCGGCUAACUCCGUGCCAGCAGGCCGCGGUAAUACGGAGGGUGCAAGCGUUACUCGGAAUCACUGGGCGUAAAGAGCGUGUAGGCGGAUAGAUAAGUCAGGAGUGAAAUCCUAUGGCUCAACCAUAGAACUGCUCUUGAAACUGUCUAUCUAGAAUAUGGGAGAGGUAGAUGGAAUUUCUGGUGUAGGGGUAAAAUCCGUAGAGAUCAGAAGGAAUACCGAUUGCGAAGGCGAUCUACUGGAACAUUAUUGACGCUGAGACGCGAAAGCGUGGGGAGCAAACAGGAUUAGAUACCCGCGUAGUC